UCCUCACAGCAACUCAGAAAGAUAUAUUGUCCUUCCAGUCCUGAGCAUCUGCCGGACCUACUUUGGAACAUCACCUUUUUCUAUUCUCAGACGGCCCUAUCAGUCUAAAUUACUCGAUGUGCUGCUACACUUGACACCCUACAAUAGAUACCGGAAUCAAUCCACCAGACUUUUGUGUGCAAUUAUACUAGUUGGGGAAUCUUAUUCAUGAUUUUUGGAGUAGAAUAUUUUGACCUGAUUGGAAGAUUUCACUCGCUGUCACUGUAAAACUUUAAAGCCGUCAUUUCUUCCUCAUAAGAGGUAGAUACAUAACCUGAUAAACACCUAUCAUUUUCUUUCUAAUGGACUACUCACUUCUUAGUAAUUCUUGUCAAAGUUUAUGUUCAUUUUCAGUUGCAUUGCAAAAACUGACUAGCUUUUGACCCGAACAAAUAUAUACCACUUGUGUUCCACUAUGAAAGGUCUCGCUAGAAUAAAAAUGUACGCAGAACUUAUCACUACUCCAAUGAUAGGUUUUCUUACUAGAAGAUUACAACCGUUUAACUUGGAGAAUGGAGAAGAAGAUUCUCUUGGCUGGAGCAUCUGAAACUCAGAAUUGGAUACAAACUGGAGAAAGGUAGAAAAGUUGAAAGAUGCUCCUCUUUAAGAUUGUCUGAAGAGCCAAGAAUGGAAUAAGGAAUACAUGCAAUUUUGUCUCCUUCCAUAUCUUUGGUACUUAUUCAGCUUCGAUGGAAUUUAAAAAUCAUGGAAUGAGGGCCCCAAAUAAAUCUGUAAUUAUUCUUCAACUGGAAUAAGGAAGCUUGCCCUUUGUUGAAGUUAAUGCCUGGCCCUACAAUCUACAGAGGGAAAAGAAAAAUGGUUGUACUUGCUCCAUACUUGCAUUUGAUGUAAAGUAUGAUUAGUCAGUGGCUUUGAGAUGACCAAUUUGCCUUUCACUUGACCUGAGCAAUUGAGCCCUUGGUUGGGUUUGCAGAUUCACUUGCAUGAAUCUAAACAUCUUUCUUUGUAUACUUCAAACUGUUUUGAUGUUCUCUGCUUUCUUUAAAGCUUGCAAGUAGUUAAGCAUGUGUCUUUAAAUACACAUAGAUGUUAUUCUGUGUAUGGUUUUACAAGUUUUCUAUUAAAUGUUCUAAUAUAUAUAUGCUGGUAUUGCUUAAUAUUUCAUGGCUAUCAUGCAGGUUUUGAUCUCUUGUUAAUUUUAUUAUCUAUUCGAAGCAGCAAGCUUUUUUGCAUGGUAUAAUUAUUUCAUUUUCAGCUAUAGCACCUUAUUCCCUUAUGAUCUAUUUAGAAUAUGAAAUAUAAAAUCCAAAGAUAUGAUAAACAGAUGAAACAGCAUAAAAUAAUAUGACAGAAAAAAGGUAUUAGUUCUGCCAAGUCACUGUUAUUCUAAGAAUGGUAGAUAUUAGAGCUGAAUUAAACUAGGAUAUAUGAGAGCUACAGGUGCCGGUGUUUGGUAGCUAAGUUUGGACUUGUUCUGAGAUUAUGAACAUAAGUGAGAGGCGAUAUCUUCAUAAACUGUUUUUAGCUUCCAACUGCAAUAUGUAAAUUAACAAUUAAGUAUGACAUGUUAAAAUUUUUAUACCAUUUCAAGAAUCUGUUUGGUGCCUCUUGAUGAGUAUGAUUCACAAACACAAAAUACGAAAAAAAUAAGAAUAAAAACCUUAAUAGUUUGCUGGCCCUUGGAUGAGAAAAUUUUGCACCAGAACAGGGUUAUAUGUCUUGCAGUUUAUAAUAUAGACGUUACUGUACAUACAUCUUCUCUGUUAUUUCUUAUCAGUAUCAUAGCUUAUGCCAUUUUCUGGAUGCUAAUUGAUGCAGAAGCAAUCUGCGCUAGAACGUUCAAUAUGAAUAGCAAUUACAUGACUUAUAAUAUAUGUACCGGUUAACCAACUCCAAAUUUCCGGAUUCUAUUUCAUAUGCUCAUUUAUUGCGAUGCUAAAAUUUUGGGUAAUGCGGUUUCUGAACUGUAAUAUGGUUUUGUAACUUUUGUUGUGUUACAGAGAGAGCUGACAUGUUACUACUAUAAGUUUCAGUUGUGGUGCUAUGAAGGACUCAAUUAUAUUUCCAGUAAUGGACCAGAUGAAACUUAAAAAAGUAACAAGAAUGGCAUUUUACAUUGGCCUGUCAAUCAUUAGUGAAAAUGUUUGUCAGUGCCAGAUGCUCAUUGGUUUGUGAUCUAUUGACCACAUCUGACAAGGAUCGGCGGGAAAAUAAAGAAAUAAAUGACCACGGAAUGAUAUUCUCUUUAGGAAAGUUGGGAGAGAUUCUAAGUGGACUGUGCUCUGGGAUUUAUAUUACACAGCCUACACUGCACAUAAUAUUAAUCAUUGGUACAUCUGGACAACAUCAUCCACCCUGGGGACAAUGUGUGCAAUGCAUCUUAACCGGAGCAAACUAUUUAAUUUGGCAAUCAUCCAUGUCUUGAAAAGUUGAACCUUCUGUAGUGGAAACUGAAAUUCACUGCAACAAACUAAAGGUGCCAGCUGUAACUUAGCCUCUCUAUUUUCGUCUCAACGGUGACAACUACGGAUAAAAGCUAUGUUGCAGUUUUAGUUUUAACUAGGACUCAAAGCCAUAUAACCAACCAAAACCUGACCAUAUUUUCGUUUAUAUUGAGCAGUAUCUUCUUUAUUAGACAUAUUUACACAUAUUCACAGAACAUGUUUUAACUAAUAUAUUAUAAUAAUAAUAUUUUUUUUAUUUUUUUAUAAUUAAUAGCAUGGGAGAUGUUCUUAUUUUGUGAGCAUCCAGAGAGGCACUACUUGGCAUUUGCCAGCGUUUGAACAUAUGAUUUGUAUAACUAGCUCCGGAAGCAAUGCAGUUU